rnacentral:rRNA from 1 species
GACGAACGCUGGCGGCGUGCUAAACACAUGCAAGUCGAACGAUGAAGCCUAGCUUGCUAGGUGGAUUAGUGGCGAACGGGUGAGUAAUACGUGAGUAACCUACCUUUAACUCUGGGAUAAGCCUGGGAAACUGGGUCUAAUACCGGAUACGACCAAUCUCCGCAUGGGGUGUUGGUGGAAAGCGUUAUGUAGUGGUUAUAGAUGGGCUCACGGCCUAUCAGCUUGUUGGUGAGGUAACGGCUCACCAAGGCGACGACGGGUAGCCGGCCUGAGAGGGUGACCGGCCACACUGGGACUGAGACACGGCCCAGACUCCUACGGGAGGCAGCAGUGGGGAAUAUUGCACAAUGGGCGCAAGCCUGAUGCAGCGACGCCGCGUGAGGGAUGACGGCCUUCGGGUUGUAAACCUCUGUUAGCAGGGAAGAAGAGAGAUUGACGGUACCUGCAGAGAAAGCGCCGGCUAACUACGUGCCAGCAGCCGCGGUAAUACGUAGGGCGCGAGCGUUGUCCGGAAUUAUUGGGCGUAAAGAGCUUGUAGGCGGUUUGUCGCGUCUGCUGUGAAAGGCCGGAGCUUAACUCCGUGUAUUGCAGUGGGUACGGGCAGACUAGAGUGCAGUAGGGGAGACUGGAAUUCCUGGUGUAGCGGUGGAAUGCGCAGAUAUCAGGAGGAACACCGAUGGCGAAGGCAGGUCUCUGGGCUGUAACUGACGCUGAGAAGCGAAAGCAUGGGGAGCGAACAGGAUUAGAUACCCUGGUAGUCCAUGCCGUAAACGUUGGGCACUAGGUGUGGGGAACAUUCCACGUUUUCCGCGCCGUAGCUAACGCAUUAAGUGCCCGCCUGGGGAGUACGGCCGCAAGGCUAAAACUCAAAGAAAUUGACGGGGGCCCGCACAAGCGGCGGAGCAUGCGGAUUAAUUCGACGCAACGCGAAGAACCUUACCAAGGCUUGACAUAUACUGGACCGCAUCAGAGAUGGUGUUUCCCUUCGGGGCUGGUAUACAGGUGGUGCAUGGUUGUCGUCAGCUCGUGUCGUGAGAUGUUGGGUUAAGUCCCGCAACGAGCGCAACCCUCGUUCUAUGUUGCCAGCACGUUAUGGUGGGGACUCAUAGGAGACUGCCGGGGUCAACUCGGAGGAAGGUGGGGAUGACGUCAAAUCAUCAUGCCCCUUAUGUCUUGGGCUUCACGCAUGCUACAAUGGCCGGUACAGAGGGUUGCGAUACUGUGAGGUGGAGCUAAUCCCUAAAAGCCGGUCUCAGUUCGGAUUGGGGUCUGCAACUCGACCCCAUGAAGUCGGAGUCGCUAGUAAUCGCAGAUCAGCAACGCUGCGGUGAAUACGUUCCCGGGCCU